rnacentral:rRNA from 1 species
UACGUAGGGUGCAAGCGUUGUCCGGAAUUAUUGGGCGUAAAGAGCGUGUAGGCGGCCAGGUAGGUCUGCUGUGAAAACUCGAGGCUCAACCUCGAGACGCCGGCGGAAACCAUCUGGCUAGAGUCCGGAAGAGGAGAGUGGAAUUCCUGGUGUAGCGGUGAAAUGCGCAGAUAUCAGGAGGAACACCGGUGGCGAAGGCGGGUCUCUGGGCCGAAACUGACGCUGAGGAGCGAAAGCGUGGGGAGCAAACAGG